rnacentral:rRNA from 1 species
CCUACGGGAGGCAGCAGUGAGGAAUAUUGGUCAAUGGCCGUAAGGCUGAACCAGCCAAGUCGCGUGAAGGAAGAAGGAUCUAUGGUUUGUAAACUUCUUUUAUAGGGGAAUAAAGGUAUCCACGUGUGGAUAUUUGCAUGUACCCUAUGAAUAAGCAUCGGCUAACUCCGUGCCAGCAGCCGCGGUAAUACGGGGGAUGCGAGCGUUAUCCGGAGUUAGUGGGUUUAACGGGUGCGUAGGUUGUUUUUGAAGUCAGCGGUGAAAGUUUGUGGCUCAACCAUAAAAUUGCCGUUGAAACUGGAAGACUUGAGUGUGUUUGAGGUAGGCGGAAUGCGUGGUGUAGCGGUGAAAUGCAUAGAUAUCACGAAGAACUCCGAUUGCGAAGGCAGCUUACUAAGCCAUAACUGACACUGAAGCACGAAAGCGUGGGUAUCAAACAGGAUUAGAUACCCCAGUAGUC